rnacentral:tRNA from 1 species
GUCCAGGGAUGGGGAACGAACCAACAGUGUUCCGCUUACCGGGCAGAUGCCAUGUCCACUAGGCUACCCUGGU